rnacentral:rRNA from 1 species
AUGGCGCCCAUGAAGGUGUACGGGUGGGCGGUGUCGCCAUGGAUGGCCCGGGUCCUCGUCUGCUUGGAGGAGGCCGGCGCCGAGUACGAGAUCGUGCCCAUGAGCAGGAGCGGCGGCGAUCACCGGCAGCCGGACCACCUCGCCAGAAACCCCUUCGGUGAGAUCCCGGUGUUGGAGGAUGGCGACUUGACGCUUUACCAAUCUCGUGGCGUCGCAAGGUACAUUCUUCGUAAGUGCAAACCCGAGCUUCUGCGAGCAGGCAACCUCGCCGAGUCGGCGAUGGUGGAUGUAUGGCUCGACGUGGAAGCCCUCCAGCUCGAGCCUAUAGUGCGGCCAAUUGUGGCUAACUGCAUCCUCUACCCGCUCGAAGGGUGCUACCGCGACCAAAAGAUCGUUGAGGAAAAAAUCGAGAAGUUGAAGAAGCUGUUGGAGGUCUACGAGUCAAGGUUAUCCUGCAGCAAGUAUUUGGCCGGGGAUUUCAUCAGCCUCGCCGACCUUAGCCAUUUCUCCUUCAUGCGCUACUUCAUGGCGACGGAGUAUGCAGACCAGCUCGACACUUACCCACACGUCAAGGCAUGGUGGGCCGCGUUGCUUGCAAGGCCUUCGGUCAAGAAGGUGAUGGCUGGCAUGCCUCCCGAUUUUGGGUUUGGGAGUGGGAACAUACCAUAA